GUGUACCUGAAGAGACCCAGAAUAGGUCGAAACAUAUGUUUCGUCAC
rnacentral:hammerhead_ribozyme from 1 species